rnacentral:rRNA from 1 species
GGAAGUUAAGGUUUUCACAGGUAUCCUUAGCCGAAGGCUCGGGUAAUCUUUGAAACUGCAUCGUGAUGGGGAUAGAUUAUUGCAAUUAUUAGUCUUCAACGAGGAAUGCCUAGUAAGCGCAAUUCAUCAGAUUGCGUUGAUUACGUCCCUGCCCUUUGUACACACCGCCCGUCGCUCCUACCGAUUGGGUGUGCUGGUGAAGUGUUCGGAUUGGCAAUUAUCGGUGGCAACACCGUCGAUUGCCGAGAAGUUCAUUAAACCCUCCCACCUAGAGGAAGGAGAAGUCGUAACAAGGUUUCCGUAGGUGAACCUGCGGAAGGAUCAUUG